UGGCGCUGGUGACCGGCGCGGCUCAGGGCAUAGGCAGAGCCUUUGCAGAGGCGCUGCUGCUUAAGGGCGCCAAGGUAGCGCUGGUGGAUUGGAAUCUUGAAGCAGGUGUACAGUGUAAAGCUGCCCUGGAUGAGCAGUUUGAACCUCAGAAGACUCUGUUCAUCCAGUGCGAUGUGGCUGACCAGCAACAACUGAGAGACACUUUUAGAAAAGUUGUAGACCACUUUGGAAGACUGGACAUUUUGGUCAAUAAUGCUGGAGUGAAUAAUGAGAAAAACUGGGAAAAAACUCUGCAAAUUAAUUUGGUUUCUGUUAUCAGUGGAACCUAUCUUGGUUUGGAUUACAUGAGUAAGCAAAAUGGAGGUGAAGGCGGCAUCAUUAUCAAUAUGUCAUCUUUAGCAGGACUCAUGCCCGUUGCACAGCAGCCGGUUUAUUGUGCUUCAAAGCAUGGCAUAGUUGGAUUCACACGCUCAGCAGCGGCUUUGUUAACACAGCCAUCCUUGAAUCAAUUGAAAAAGAAGAAAACAUGGGACAAUAUAUAGAAUAUAAGGAUCAUAUCAAGGAUAUGAUUAAAUACUAUGGAAUUUUGGACCCACCAUUGAUUGCCAAUGGAUUGAUAACACUCAUUGAAGAUGAUGCUUUAAAUGGUGCUAUUAUGAAGAUCACAACUUCUAAGGGAAUUCAUUUUCAAGACUAUGAUACAACUCCAUUUCAAGCAAAAACCCAAUGAACAGCUUAUGUGUUAGCCAUAGCUGAAAAUAAGCACAAAUAGCUUAUAUUCAGAUCCUAUCUUCAUUUGAAUAUAGCUUUUAAAUG
rnacentral:lncRNA from 1 species